rnacentral:rRNA from 1 species
CCUACGGGAGGCAGCAGUGAGGAAUAUUGGUCAAUGGACGAGAGUCUGAACCAGCCAAGUAGCGUGAAGGAUGACUGCCCUAUGGGUUGUAAACUUCUUUUAUAUGGGAAUAAAAUGUUCCACGUGUGGGAUUUUGUAUGUACCAUAUGAAUAAGGAUCGGCUAACUCCGUGCCAGCAGCCGCGGUAAUACGGAGGAUCCGAGCGUUAUCCGGAUUUAUUGGGUUUAAAGGGAGCGUAGGUGGAUGGUUAAGUCAGUUGUGAAAGUUUGCGGAUCAACCGUAAAAUUGCAGUUGAAUCUGGCAGUCUUGAGUACAGUAGAGGUGGGCGGAAUUCGUGGUGUAGCGGUGAAAUGCUUAGAUAUCACGAAGAACUCCGAUUGCGAAGGCAGUUCACUGGACUGCAACUGACACUGAGGCUCGAAAGUGUGGGUAUCAAACAGGAUUAGAUACCCCAGUAGUC